rnacentral:rRNA from 1 species
AGCGAACGCUGGCGGCAGGCCUAACACAUGCAAGUCGAACGGACCCUUCGGGGUUAGUGGCGGACGGGUGAGUAACACGUGGGAACGUGCCUUUUGGUUCGGAAUAGCUCCUGGAAACGGGUGGUAAUGCCGAAUAUGCCCUCGGGAAGGAUUAUCGCCAUUAGAGCGGCCCGCCGUCUGAUUAGCUAGUUGGUUGAGGU